UGUAUCAGAAGCUCCGUAUAAAACGUUUUAUUCCUAGGCUCGAUCUCUGAUUAUGUAUGGAAGGAUCUCAUUCAUCCUUCCACACACUUAUGGUUAACGAGCUUUUACCAUUAGUGGCAUUAUCUUGAUCGAUAAACCAAUCAAUUAGCUACGUAUGAUACAAAGUGAUAUGGAUUAUCAAAAUGCACACUCAACUAUUAGCACAAACAAUUAAGACCUGCAAAUCCUUUUAUCAAAAAUUUGCUACCAAGAAAACCAAAAA